GAGCUGGGGCCGGGCUUCGGCGCAGAGGCAGGAAGAGGAAGCGGCACCCGCUUCGGGGACCCAGCCGGCGGCCAGGCCACCGCGCCCACCCGGCCGAUGGCACCGUGUUCCUGCGCCUCGGGAGGGAGGAGGCUCUGCGCGGGACUGCAGGUUCUGCCCCGCAUCGGAGUGAUCGCUGAGCCUGACGCUCUCGAAGGCUGGGCCUGGGGCCCGCAAUCUACUCCGGAGGCUUUCCCACUGGGCAGGGUCGCUAGCAGGGUGCCACCCGGGUGCAGUGAGGACCUGGAGCCCCUGCCCCAGGCUGUGAGGAGACUUGACCAGAGCUGCCUGAAUGCUCCACGGAGCAGGAGGAAGCAUUCCCAUGUGAAAGAUGAGCUCCCUAUAAAAGCAACGCUCUUAUCAUCGAGAACAGAAAGUUGAAGCCAAGAGAGAGCUCCACAAGCUGACCUUGUUAAACUAACCCUUAUCUUCUUAGUCGCUUCUUUACCCAAUUAACUACCCUAG
rnacentral:lncRNA from 1 species